GACGUAGGGCGCGAGCGUUGUCCGGAUUUAUUGGGCGUAAAGAGCUCGUAGGCGGCUUGUCGCGUCGUUCGUGAAAACCUGCAGCUCAACUGCAGGCUUGCGGUCGAUACGGGCAGGCUAGAGUUCGGUAGGGGAGACUGGAAUUCCUGGUGUAGCGGUGAAACGCGCAGAUAUCGGGAGGAACACCAGUGGCGAAGGCGGCUUCCUGGCCUGUUCUUGACGCUGAGGCGCGAAAGCUAGGGGAGCAAACGGG
rnacentral:rRNA from 1 species